UUAAGCUUAAUUAUAUCAUAAAUGUAGGCGAGAAGCACCAGGAAUGCAGCAAACCGAGCUAAGUUGAAGAUGCCUCAUCAUAUUGGUAGCAAGCCUAUUCGAGAGAUUAUUUAUCAAAAGGGUGGGAAAUAUGGCAAUCCACCAGAUUUGGGGACUAUUUUCUUUGAGACUCGUAAGAAAGAUAACAAGCGUAUUGAACCUGAAACAAUUGAAAAACAUGCUCAGAUCAAAGAAAUGGUUCAAUCAGAGCCAUCUCUAUCUAGCAUAGAGAUUGUAGAUGUUUUGGCCCUCAAACUCAUAGCCAUGUGUUUGGCUUUGGGGGUGGAGUAAAGGCGAAAGACUUGAAAGGUGGCACUUCUUCAAAGGCUGAAUUAUUGUCUGCGCUAAGAUCAACUCAAGAGGAAAACAAAUCCUUGAAUGAGAAAAACAAGUCCUUGAAUGAUCGCUUGUCUGCCUUAGAAGAUGAAAUGAAAGAAAUUAAGAAAAUGAAAGAAUUCUUUACUGCUCAACAGUCAUAUGUCCCGCCUAUGACAUCACCUGUUUCAUCCGAAUGACCACUGUUUUUGUCUGCUGAUCAAGCUCGAUGAUUUUGUUGGAUAACACCUAAUGAAUUUAGAUUGCUUUUGGGGUAAGCGGUAUAACCACUACUAGUGUAACAUUUACAUAUAUUAUCUCUCCAUACCAGUUGAAAUUUUUGCAGUAGUACAGUAACAAAGGCUAGCUGUACUUCUAACCAAAAUUUCAAACAAGUGCUUUGAAGAGCUUGCUGCAUAAUAUUCUACUUCACCACCAGUGCUAGCAGCUUCCAAUAUUCCAACCCUAUUGCUGUCUAUAUAUUAACCAUACAAUUCUUGUCUCCAACUGCAACCUAUUCUCUGCAAAUUCUUGAUUUGGUAUUCUCCUUGUUGUAUAAGAGAGUUUACUCGAAGUUUAAAAGAAACAUAUAUUGCUGUAAGAAGAGUGUCUUGUUGUACAAGAGGCAUAACAUCUACAGUUUAUGUAAAAAAUUUAGUUGGGAACAUAUUCUAGCAGUAGCAUGUUUCUCUUU